AUUGAACGCUGGCGGCAUGCUUUACACAUGCAAGUCGAGCGGCAGCGCGGGGCAACCUGGCGGCGAGCGGCGAACGGGUGAGUAAUAGAUAGGAACGUGUCCGGGAGUGGGGGAUAACUAGCCGAAAGGUUAGCUAAUACCGCAUAUUCUGUGAGCAGGAAAGCGGGGGAUCGCAAGACCUCGCGCUUCCGGAGUGGCCUAUUUCCGAUUAGCUAGUUGGUGAGGUAAAGGCUUACCAAGGCGACGAUCGGUAGCUGGUCUGAGAGGAUGAUCAGCCACACUGGGACUGAGACACGGCCCAGACUCCUACGGGAGGCAGCAGUGGGGAAUUUUGGACAAUGGGGGCAACCCUGAUCCAGCCAUGCCGCGUGCGGGAAGAAGGCCUUCGGGUUGUAAACCGCUUUUAUUCGGGAAGAAGGAGUGGGGGUUAAUACCCUCCAUGACGGACGGUACUGGAUGAAUAAGCACCGGCUAACUACGUGCCAGCAGCCGCGGUAAUACGUAGGGUGCGAGCGUUAAUCGGAAUUACUGGGCGUAUAGCGUGCGCACGCGG
rnacentral:rRNA from 1 species